AAUUUAAGUAGUUUAUUUAAAAUAUAGAAUUGUGGUUUCUAAGAAGUUUUUAGUCUUAAAUUU
rnacentral:tRNA from 1 species